UACGGAGGGUGCGAGCGUUGUCCGGGAUCAUUGGGCGUAAAGGGCGCGUAGGUGGCCCAGUCAGCGUGCGGUGAAAGCUCGGGGCUCAACCCCGAGUCGGCCGUGCGAACUACUGGGCUGGAGCACUGUAGAGGCAGGCGGAAUUCCGGGGGUAGCGGUGGAAUGCGUAGAGAUCCGGAAGAACACCAGUGGCGAAGGCGGCUCACUGGACCGGUAUUGACGCUGAGGUGCGAAAGCGUGGGGAGCAAACAGG
rnacentral:rRNA from 1 species